GCCUGGGUGGCUCAGUUGGUUAAGCGUCUGACUUCAGCUCAGGUCAUGAUCUCGCGGUCUGUAGGUUCGAGUCCCGCGUCGGGCU
rnacentral:tRNA from 1 species